AGAACAGACCUCUUGGGCAGAGAUUUCACAUCAGCCGACACCAUUGUUCGCCGAACACAGCAACAUCACCAACGCUGCCUGAGUCGCCAGAGUUUCGAAGCAGCUGCAGAGCCAGAGAAUCCGCCGCCUCACUGAGACAUCCAGAGCAUCACAACGCCAAGAGACAUACAAGAUGGCUGCUGGUGGUAACGCUCGUCCUUUUGAAUACCCUGAAGGAGCUAGCGAACAAAGAAAGGAAAAGAUCAGAGAGAAAGCACUGCAUGGCAAUGAAGACACUCUGUAUUAUGAUACAGAUGCUGAAGGUGAAAAAUGCAACCUCAUGAUGUAUAGCACUUUUGUAAGAAAAUGUCUGAAUGCAAUGAAGGAACAAUAUCCUGAACUCGAGGAAGAGCGACAGAACGAUAAAAUUGUCCUCAAGUGCAAGGAAGGUACCAUAACUUCAUAUCCUACUGUAACGGUUUUGGUAAGAGGCCAAAUACUAAUGGACAGCUUUAAGAGACAUUUUCCAGCAAUGAAACAAAUGGCCCUGCCACCCUCCUUAUUAGAGGGAAUGGUCGAAUUGGACAGUACCAAUACCGGUGUUAAAUCUAGGUCUUUUGAAUACCCUCAAGGAUAUACUGAUCAACAAAAGGAAAGGGUCAGAAAGGAAACACUGCAUAACAAUAAAGACACUCUGCAUCAUGAUACCACUUUGUUAGGUAAAAAAUGCAACCUCACGUUCUAUAGCACUCAUGUAAAAGAAUGGCUGAAUGCAAUGAAGAAACAAUAUCCUACAUAUAGGGAAAUUAGACAUGGCCAGUUAGUCAACCUCAAGUCCGAUAUGGUGACCAUAACUUUAUACCCUAAAGUAACGGUUGUGGUAGAAGGCCAACUAAUGGAGAGGUUUGAGGACAAUUUUCCACAAAUGAAACAAAUGGCUGGUCUAGUGAGGAAGGCGAGGGAACCGGCCCCAGACUUCCCCCGCCUGAUGAGAAAUAUCCGUCGGAUGAAAAAGUAAGCACAGAAAAAAAGAAGGGAAAAAAACAACUACAAAAUGGAUCAUUAUAAAUAACUGAUUAUUUAAGCUUCAUCGUGCCAUUUUAAUUCAUGAACAGGUAUCUGGGUUGUAAA